UUAAGCAUAUCAAUAAGCGGAGGAAAAGAAACCAACAGGGAUUGCCUCAGUAACGGCGAGUGAAGCGGCAACAGCUCAAAUUUGAAAUCUGGCUCCGUCGGGGUCCGAGUUGUAAUUUGUAGAGAGUGUUUCGGGUGAGACCACGGUCUAAGUCUAUUGGAACAUGGCGUCAUAGAGGGUGAGAAUCCCGUAUGUGACCGUGGCUCGAGCCCAUGUGAAGCCUCUUCGACGAGUCGAGUUGUUUGGGAAUGCAGCUCAAAAUGGGUGGUAAAUUUCAUCUAAAGCUAAAUACUGGCUGGAGACCGAUAGCGCACAAGUAGAGUGAUCGAAAGAUGAAAAGCACUUUGGAAAGAGAGUCAAAAAGUACGUGAAAUUGUUGAAAGGGAAGCGCUUGCAACCAGACCUGUCCGUAGGUGAUCAGCCGCUGUUCUCAGCGGUGCACUCGCUCUGCGAGCAGGCCAGCAUCGGUUUCGGCGGUCGGAUAAAGGCCUUGGGGGAAUGUAGCUUCCUUCGGGGAGUCUUAUAGCCCUCGGUGCAAUGCGGCCAGCCGGGACCGAGGACCGCGCUUCGGCUAGGAUGCUGGCGUAAUGGUUGUAAGCGACCCGUCUUGAAACACGGACCAAGGAGUCUAACAUCUAUGCGAGUGUUUGGGUGUCAAACCCAUGCGCGGAAUGAAAGUGAACGGAGGUGAGAACCCUUUAGGGCGCAUCAUCGACCGAUCCAGAUGUCUUCGGAUGGAUUUGAGUAUGAGCAUAGCUGUUGGGACCCGAAAGAUGGUGAACUAUGCCUGAAUAGGGUGAAGCCAGAGGAAACUCUGGUGGAGGCUCGCAGCGGUUCUGACGUGCAAAUCGAUCGUCAAAUYUGGGUAUAGGGGCG
rnacentral:rRNA from 1 species